AGUGAACGCUGGCGGUAGGCCUAACACAUGCAAGUCGAACGGCAGCACAGUAAGAGCUUGCUCUUACGGGUGGCGAGUGGCGGACGGGUGAGGAAUACAUCGGAAUCUACUUUUUCGUGGGGGAUAACGUAGGGAAACUUACGCUAAUACCGCAUACGACCUACGGGUGAAAGCAGGGGAUCUUCGGACCUUGCGCGAUUGAAUGAGCCGAUGUCGGAUUAGCUAGUUGGCGGGGUAAAGGCCCACCAAGGCGACGAUCCGUAGCUGGUCUGAGAGGAUGAUCAGCCACACUGGAACUGAGACACGGUCCAGACUCCUACGGGAGGCAGCAGUGGGGAAUAUUGGACAAUGGGCGAAAGCCUGAUCCAGCAAUGCCGCGUGAGUGAAGAAGGCCUUCGGGUUGUAAAGCCCUUUUGUUGGGAAAGAAAAGCAGCAGGUUAAUACACGGCUGUUCUGACGGUACCCAAAGAAUAAGCACCGGCUAACUUCGUG
rnacentral:rRNA from 1 species